CUAAGGAAGCUGUGGAAUUGGAAGACGAUCGGUUCGCCGAUAUGACCUUUCCCGUGCUUUUUAGAACAUAGAUGGCACCAGUCAGGUGACCAUCGAAACGUAAUACGCCGCAGAGGUGCUUGCACCCUGACGGUAUGGCGAGACCCGCCGUCCACGUUUCUCUUUCUCACAAAGACAAGGACCACGCUGUUUUGGCUGUAGUUCACCCCGGAUGGGCCCGUAGCUCAGGUGGUUAGAGCGCACGCCUGAUAAGCGUGAGGUCGGCAGUUCGAGUCUGCCCGGGCCCACCAUUCGCCUACGGCUCAUGGUGAGCCCAGGCAGUCUCUUUAAGUUUGUUCUUCCUCGUGAUCUUCGAUCACUGCGGGGAGAACGGGCCGGGCCCGGCGGAGCUUUCCGUUUGGGUAUCGAAACCUGAUGGGGCUGUAGCUCAGCUGGGAGAGCACCUGCUUUGCAAGCAGGGGGUCAGCGGUUCGAUCCCGCUCAGCUCCACCAAGGUUUUGGUGUUGAUGCUGGGGGAUCUGUUCCUUGUCUUUGGGGAAAAUAAAGUUUGCAUCGUCUCUGCUGAGACUGAUGCCUGUUCUGCUAAAAUUGUGAAGAGAAGAUAUGUCUGGAAGCUUCCAGGUGUUGGCGGCGAUUGUCGAAAGGCGGUCGGUGUCGGCGUCCGAGCCCAGUCCUUUUGAAGCCAUCGAUGGUCUAGCCGACCGGAGAUGGAAGAGGGGCUGGAGGUAGGAGGGAAGUCUUGUCGUUCAGGGCAUGGAUGUUGUUGGGGUGUCCUUCGGGAUGCCCUUCUGGUGUUCAUGGCCGAUUGGUGUUGCCUGACCGCGCAUCACCGGACAGAUCUCGAGAAGCUGGUCUUAAGAUUUGGCGCAAGCGAACCGCUCGGCGUGGUUCCAAUAAAGCGACCAAAUCGAACACGUCGAUGGCAUCUGAUUGGCUCGGUUGUAAAAGGUAACCGGGUUUUUGGACUGGCGGUGCGGCAUACGAAAGUUGCCCGCAUGGCCAGAUUUGGCACCCCUUCGAGCGCGAGCGAGAAGGAAAGGUUUGCCAAAUCCAAAUAAGGAUGAGCAUUGGCAAUGAGAAC
rnacentral:tRNA from 1 species